rnacentral:rRNA from 1 species
GACGAACGCUGGCGGCGUGCUUAACACAUGCAAGUCGAACGGAAAGGCCCUGCUUUUGUGGGGUGCUCGAGUGGCGAACGGGUGAGUAACACGUGAGUAACCUGCCCUUGACUUUGGGAUAACUUCAGGAAACUGGGGCUAAUACCGGAUAGGAGCUCCUGCUGCAUGGUGGGGGUUGGAAAGUUUCGGCGGUUGGGGAUGGACUCGCGGCUUAUCAGCUUGUUGGUGGGGUAGUGGCUUACCAAGGCUUUGACGGGUAGCCGGCCUGAGAGGGUGACCGGCCACAUUGGGACUGAGAUACGGCGCAGACUCCUACGGGAGGCAGCAGUGGGGAAUAUUGCACAAUGGGCGGAAGCCUGAGGCAGCAACGCCGCGUGCGGGAUGACGGCCUUCGGGUUGUAAACCGCUUUCGCCUGUGACGAAGCGUGAGUGACGGUAAUGGGUAAAGAAGCACCGGCUAACUACGUG